AGCUAAUAUCCUCGUCUCAUGACGGUACCUGACGAUAAGCACCGGCUAAGCUACGUGCCAGCAGCCGCGGUAAUCAGUAGUGUGCAAGAGUAAUCGGAAUUACUAGGUCGUAAAGCGUGCGCAGCGUUUUUGUAAGUCUGUCGUGAAUUACCCGGGCUAACUGGGAAUGGCGAUGAGACUGCAAGGCUAGAAUCUGGCAGAGGGGGGUAGAAUUCCACGUGUAGCAGUGAAAUGCGUAGAGAUGUGGAGGAACACCGAUGGCGAAGGCACCCCCCUGGGCUAAGAGUGACGCUCAUGCACGAAAGCGUGGGGAGCAAACAGGAUUAGAUACCUUGGUAGUCCACGCCGUAAUCGAUGUGUACUAGUUGUCGGGUCUUAAUUGACUUGGUAACGCAGCUAACGCGUGAAGUAGACCGCUUGGGGAGUACGGUCGCAAGAUUAAAACUCAAAGGAAUUGACGGGGACCCGCACAAGCGGUGGAUGAUGUGGAUUAAUUCGAUGCAACGCGAAAAACCUUACCUACCCUUGACAUGGUUGGAAUCCUCGAGAGAUUGAGGAGUGCCCGAAAGGGAACCAGUACACAGGUGUUGCAUGGCUGUCGUCAGCUAGUGUCGUGAGAUGUUGGGUUAAGUCCCGCAACGAGCGCAACCCUUGUCAUUAGUUGUUACGAAAGAGCACUGUAAUGAGACUGCCGGUGACAAACCGGAGGAAGGUGGGGAUGACGUCAAGUCCUCAUGGCCCUUAUGGGUAGGGCUUCACACGUCAUACAAUGGUACAUACAGAGCGCCGCCAACCCGCGAGGGGGAGCUAAUCGCAGAAAGUGUAUCGUAGUCCGGAUUGUAGUCUGCAACUCGACUGCAUGAAGUUGGAAUCGUUAGUAAUCGCGGAUCAGCAUGUCGCGGUGAAUACGUUCCCGGGUCUUGUACACACCGCCCGUCACACCAUGGGAGCGGGUUUUACCAGAAGUAGGUAGCUUAACCGCAAGGGGGGCGCUACCACGUUGGAUUUGUGU
rnacentral:rRNA from 1 species